GAUUUGUUGGGCUUAUGAUAUAAGUCCAGUCCAAGUUAGUUAAUGAAGUGGAAAAGUUCAAUUCAUCAUUUUGUCCAAAUUCAUUAAAUCAAGCACGUGGACAAUAAAGAAGUCACGUGAAGAGUUGUCAAUUAGUUUUUAACUAAUUCAUGCUCUCGUUUCUUCUGGGUAUUGCAGGACAAACAGAAAAGAAGUUAGUCACGUGAGAGAGAGUGGAAAAAUAGGGGGAACACAAAAUUGUGGGAAAAUUAGACUAGAAUUUUCUAUAAAUCAAUUAUUGUGUUAGACUAUUAUCAAG
rnacentral:lncRNA from 1 species